rnacentral:tRNA from 1 species
GAGGGGAGAGCUCAGUGGUAGAGAACGUGCUUAGCAUGCACGAGGUUCUGGGUUCAAUCCCCAGUACUUCCA